UGCGAAGGGUGCAAGCGUUACUCGGAAUUACUGGGCGUAAAGCGUGCGUAGGUGGUUUUUUAAGUCCGUUGUGAAAGCCCUGGGCUCAACCUGGGAAUGGCAGUGGAUACUGGAAAGCUAGAGUGCGGUAGAGGGUAGUGGAAUUCCCGGUGUAGCAGUGAAAUUCGUAGAUAUCGGGAGGAACACCGGUGGCGAAGGCGGCGAUCUGGGUCGAUACUGACGCUGAGGUGCGAAAGCGUGGGGAGCAAACAGG
rnacentral:rRNA from 1 species